ACNUGCAGACGAACGGUAAGUUGAGUAGCAAUAUUUGACCAAGAGUGUCGUAAGGGUGCGUAACGGGUAUGCAAUCUGCCCUGUACAGGAGGAUAGCUCCCCGAAAGGGGAAUUAACCCUCCAUAAGAUCACACGAGGGCAUCUGAGAGUGAUUAAAACUGAGGUGGUACAGGAUGAGCAUGCUUCUGAUUAGCUAGUUGGUGAGGUAACGGCUCACCAAGGCGAUGAUCAGUAGGGGAACUGAGAGGUUGAUCCCCCACACUGGCACUGAGAUACGGGCCAGACUCCUACGGGAGGCAGCAGUAGGGAAUAUUGGACAAUGGGUGGAAGCCUGAUCCAGCCAUGCCGCGUGCAGGAAGACGGCCUUCUGGGUUGUAAACUGCUUUUGCCUGUGGAUAAAAAGACUCUGCGGAGUAAAUUGAAGGUAGCAGGUGAAUAAGCCACGGCUAACUACGUGCCAGCAGCCGCGGUAAUACGUAGGUGGCAAGCGUUGUCCGGAUUUAUUGGGUUUAAAGGGUGCGUAGGCGGUCUGUUAAGUCAGUGGUGAAAUACGGCAGCUCAACUGUCGAGGUGCCAUUGAUACUGGCGGACUUGAGUACUGAUGAGGUAGGCGGAAUGGACGGUGUAGCGGUGAAAUGCUUAGAUAUCGUCCAGAACACCGAUAGCGAAGGCAGCUUACUAAGGAGUAACUGACGCUGANGCACGAAAGUGUGGGGAUCAAACAGGAUUAGAUACCCUGGUAGUCCACACUGUAAACGUUGAUCACUCGAUGUUGGCGAUACACGGCCAGCGUCUUANCAAAAGCGAUAAGUGAUCCACCUGGGGAGUACGCCCGCAAGGGUGAAACUCAAAGGAANUGA
rnacentral:rRNA from 1 species